rnacentral:rRNA from 1 species
CCUACGGGAGGCAGCAGUGAGGAAUAUUGGUCAAUGGGAGCGAUCCUGAACCAGCCAAGCCGCGUGAGGGAAGACGGCCCUAUGGGUUGUAAACCUCUUUUGUCGGAGAACAAAACCCGGCACGUGUCCCGUCCUGCGUGUAUCCGAAGAAAAAGCAUCGGCUAACUCCGUGCCAGCAGCCGCGGUAAUACGGAGGAUGCGAGCGUUAUCCGGAUUUAUUGGGUUUAAAGGGUGCGUAGGCGGUCCGUUAAGUCAGCGGUAAAAUUGCGGGGCUCAACCCCGUCGAGCCGUUGAAACUGGUAGACUGGAGUGGGCGAGAAGUACGCGGAAUGCGCGGUGUAGCGGUGAAAUGCAUAGAUAUCGCGCAGAACUCCGAUUGCGAAGGCAGCGUACCGGCGCGAGAUUGACGCUGAGGCACGAAAGCGUGGGGAUCGAACAGGAUUAGAUACCCGGGUAGUC